rnacentral:tRNA from 1 species
UGCGGGAUGUCAGCAGUGGUAGCUAUUGAGUUUCAUAAGCACAAGGUCGGUGGUUCGAUUCCACCUCCCGCAA